UCCACAUGUUUGUUCUGCUCAGGCUUCAUUUGUAACUGUCACUUGCUAACUGCUUUGGAACUUUUGGGUGGCAUUGGAGUUACUCGGUGUCACGUCUGCUUAAGUCUUGAGGGUUCCACUAGGCUAGCGCCUUAACCGUGCAUUUCUCAAGGAACUUCUCCAAAGUGAUGGCUUCCUUUGACAAGGGCCCACGUGUGAGGACAGGACGAGACCUCCUGAUUCUGCUUUGAGUUCAUUCACUUGGCUGAGGAAGGCAUCAUGGGUUGCAUCCAAGAUUCCCUGAUUCUGCAGACAAAAGGAAAUUCCUACAGGAAUGAUCACACGACUCAGGAAGCAUGGCACAGCUGAACUCCUUGGUGACCCUCAGCCAUAGGGACUUACCCAGUUUUGUCUGCACCCCACUCACAGUGAGUAAGGUCAAGACUGAAGAUCAGAUCAAGAACAGCCACAGGAUAUCUUGUUGCCUUAUACAUGUCAAGAGAAUACUCCUAGGAAUUUUUGAGUAAAUGUUAUAAUUUACUGUUGUAAUAAACUAAUAAAUACCACC